AUGAAGCUGAAUAUCUCCUUCCCAGCCGAUGGCUGCCAGAAACUCACUGAAUUGGACGAUGAACCCAAACUUCGUACUUACUAUGAGAAGCAAAUGGCCACAGAAGUUGCUGCUGACGCGCUAGGUGAAGAAUGGAAGGGUUAUGUGGUCCGAAUCAGUGGUGGAAAUGACAAGCAACAUUUCCCCAUGAAGCAGGGUGUCUUGACCCAUGGCUGUGUCCACCUGCUGCUGAGUAAGGGGCAUUCCUGUUAUAGAGCAAGAACUGGAGAAAGGAAGCACAAAUCUGUUCCGGGUUGCAUUGUGGAUGCCAAUCGGAGUGUUCUCAACUUGGUUAUCGUAAAAAAAGGAGAGAAGGAUAUCCCUGGACUGACUGAUACUACGGUACCUCGCGUCUGGGGCCUAAAAGAGCUAGCAGAAUCCGCAAACUUUUCAAUCUGUCUAAAGAAGAUGAUGUUCGCCAAUACGUUGUGAGAAAGCCCUUAAACAAAGAAGGUAAGAAACCUAGGACCAAAGCACCCAAGAUUGGGCGUCUUGUAACUCCACGUGUCUUACAACAUAAACGCCAGCAUAUUGCUCUGAAGAAACAGCGUACUAAGAAAAAUAAGGAAGAGGCUGCAGAAUAUGCUAAACUUCUGGCCAAGAGAAUGAAGGAGGCCAAAUAAAAGCGCCAGGAACAGAUUGCCAAGAGACACAGGCUGUCCUCUCUGAGAGCUUCCACUUCUAAGUCUGAAUCCAGUCAAAAAUAAGAUUGUUUUUGAGUAACAAAUAAACGAGUUCUUAUCUCUAAAAAAAAAAAA